rnacentral:rRNA from 1 species
GGGUUGUGAGGUUAAGCGACUAAGCGUACACGGUGGAUGCCCUGGCAGUCAGAGGCGAUGAAGGACGUGCUAAUCUGCGAAAAGCGUCGGUAAGGUGAUAUGAACCGUUAUAACCGGCGAUGUCCGAAUGGGGAAACCCAGUGUGAUUCGUCACACUAUCGUUAACUGAAUACAUAGGUUAACGAGGCGAACCGGGGGAACUGAAACAUCUAAGUACCCCGAGGAAAAGAAAUCAACCGAGAUUCCCCCAGUAGCGGCGAGCGAACGGGGAGCAGCCCAGAGUCUGAAUCAGCUUGUGUGUUAGUGGAACGGUCUGGAAAGUCCGACGGUACAGGGUGAUAGUCCCGUACACCAAAAUGCACAGGCUGUGAACUCGAAGAGUAGGGCGGGACACGUGGUAUCCUGUCUGAAUAUGGGGGGACCAUCCUCCAAGGCUAAAUACUCCUGACUGACCGAUAGUGAACCAGUACCGUGAGGGAAAGGCGAAAAGAACCCCGGCGAGGGGAGUGAAAAAGAACCUGAAACCGUGUACGUACAAGCAGUGGGAGCACCUUCGGGUGUGACUGCGUACCUUUUGUAUAAUGGGUCAGCGACUUAUAUUCUGUAGCAAGGUUAACCGUAUAGGGGAGCCGCAGGGAAACCGAGUCUUAACUGGGCGUUAAGUUGCAGGGUAUAGACCCGAAACCCGGUGAUCUAGCCAUGGGCAGGUUGAAGGUUGGGUAACACUAACUGGAGGACCGAACCGACUAAUGUUGAAAAAUUAGCGGAUGACUUGUGGCUGGGGGUGAAAGGCCAAUCAAACCGGGAGAUAGCUGGUUCUCCCCGAAAGCUAUUUAGGUAGCGCCUCGUGAACUCAUCUUCGGGGGUAGAGCACUGUUUCGGCUAGGGGGUCAUCCCGACUUACCAACCCGAUGCAAACUACGAAUACCGAAGAAUGUUAUCACGGGAGACACACGGCGGGUGCUAACGUCCGUCGUGAAGAGGGAAACAACCCAGACCGCCAGCUAAGGUCCCAAAGUCAUGGUUAAGUGGGAAACGAUGUGGGAAGGCACAGACAGCCAGGAUGUUGGCUUAGAAGCAGCCAUCAUUUAAAGAAAGCGUAAUAGCUCACUGGUCGAGUCGGCCUGCGCGGAAGAUGUAACGGGGCUAAACCAUGCACCGAAGCUGCGGCAGCGACACUAUGUGUUGUUGGGUAGGGGAGCGUUCUGUAAGCCUGCGAAGGUGACCUGUGAGGGUUGCUGGAGGUAUCAGAAGUGCGAAUGCUGACAUAAGUAACGAUAAAGCGGGUGAAAAGCCCGCUCGCCGGAAGACCAAGGGUUCCUGUCCAACGUUAAUCGGGGCAGGGUGAGUCGACCCCUAAGGCGAGGCCGAAAGGCGUAGUCGAUGGGAAACAGGUUAAUAUUCCUGUACUUGGUGUUACUGCGAAGGGGGGACGGAGAAGGCUAUGUUAGCCGGGCGACGGUUGUCCCGGUUUAAGCAUGUAGGCUGAUUGUCCAGGCAAAUCCGGAUAAUCAAGGCUGAGGUGUGAUGACGAGGCACUACGGUGCUGAAGUAACAAAUGCCCUGCUUCCAGGAAAAGCCUCUAAGCAUCAGGUAACAUCAAAUCGUACCCCAAACCGACACAGGUGGUCAGGUAGAGAAUACCAAGGCGCUUGAGAGAACUCGGGUGAAGGAACUAGGCAAAAUGGUGCCGUAACUUCGGGAGAAGGCACGCUGGUGUGUAGGUGAAGUCCCUGCGGAUGGAGCUGAGACCAGUCGAAGAUACCAGCUGGCUGCAACUGUUUAUUAAAAACACAGCACUGUGCAAACACGAAAGUGGACGUAUACGGUGUGACGCCUGCCCGGUGCCGGAAGGUUAAUUGAUGGGGUUAUCCGUAAGGAGAAGCUCUUGAUCGAAGCCCCGGUAAACGGCGGCCGUAACUAUAACGGUCCUAAGGUAGCGAAAUUCCUUGUCGGGUAAGUUCCGACCUGCACGAAUGGCGUAAUGAUGGCCAGGCUGUCUCCACCCGAGACUCAGUGAAAUUGAACUCGCUGUGAAGAUGCAGUGUACCCGCGGCAAGACGGAAAGACCCCGUGAACCUUUACUAUAGCUUGACACUGAACAUUGAGCCUUGAUGUGUAGGAUAGGUGGGAGGCUUUGAAGCGUGGACGCCAGUCUGCGUGGAGCCAACCUUGAAAUACCACCCUUUAAUGUUUGAUGUUCUAACGUUGGCCCCUGACCGGGGUUGCGGACAGUGUCUGGUGGGUAGUUUGACUGGGGCGGUCUCCUCCCAAAGCGUAACGGAGGAGCACGAAGGUUAGCUAAUCCUGGUCGGACAUCAGGAGGUUAGUGCAAUGGCAUAAGCUAGCUUGACUGCGAGCGUGACGGCGCGAGCAGGUGCGAAAGCAGGUCAUAGUGAUCCGGUGGUUCUGAAUGGAAGGGCCAUCGCUCAACGGAUAAAAGGUACUCCGGGGAUAACAGGCUGAUACCGCCCAAGAGUUCAUAUCGACGGCGGUGUUUGGCACCUCGAUGUCGGCUCAUCACAUCCUGGGGCUGAAGUAGGUCCCAAGGGUAUGGCUGUUCGCCAUUUAAAGUGGUACGCGAGCUGGGUUUAGAACGUCGUGAGACAGUUCGGUCCCUAUCUGCCGUGGGCGCUGGAGAAUUGAGGGGGGCUGCUCCUAGUACGAGAGGACCGGAGUGGACGCAUCACUGGUGUUCGGGUUGUCAUGCCAAUGGCACUGCCCGGUAGCUAAAUGCGGAAGAGAUAAGUGCUGAAAGCAUCUAAGCACGAAACUUGCCCCGAGAUGAGUUCUCCCUGAGACUUUAAGUCUCCUGAAGGAACGUUAAAGACGAUGACGUUGAUAGGCCGGGUGUGUAAGCGCAGCGAUGCGUUGAGCUAACCGGUACUAAUGAACCGUGAGGCUUAACCUUACAACGCCGAAG